rnacentral:rRNA from 1 species
GUGGGGAAUAUUGGACAAUGGGGGGAACCCUGAUCCAGCCAUGCCGCGUGUGUGAAGAAGGCCUUUUGGUUGUAAAGCACUUUAAGCGAGGAGGAGGCUACCGAGAUUAAUACUCUUGGAUAGUGGACGUUACUCGCAGAAUAAGCACCGGCUAACUCUGUGCCAGCAGCCGCGGUAAUACAGAGGGUGCAAGCGUUAAUCGGAUUUACUGGGCGUAAAGCGCGCGUAGGUGGCCAAUUAAGUCAAAUGUGAAAUCCCCGAGCUUAACUUGGGAAUUGCAUUCGAUACUGGUUGGCUAGAGUAUGGGAGAGGAUGGUAGAAUUCCAGGUGUAGUGGUGAAAUGCGUAGAGAUCUGGAGGAAUACCGAUGGCGAAGGCAGCCAUCUGGCCUAAUACUGACACUGAGGUGCGAAAGCAUGGGGAGCAAACAGGAUUAGAAACCCUGGUAGUCC